UGCAGGGUAUAGACCCGAAACCCGGUGAUCUAGCCAUGGGCAGGUUGAAGGUUGGGUAACACUAACUGGAGGACCGAACCGACUAAUGUUGAAAAAUUAGCGGAUGACUUGUGGCUGGGGGUGAAAGGCCAAUCAAACCGGGAGAUAGCUGGUUCUCCCCGAAAGCUAUUUAGGUAGCGCCUCGUGAAUUCAUCUCCGGGGGUAGAGCACUGUUUCGGCAAGGGGGUCAUCCCGACUUACCAACCCGAUGCAAACUGCGAAUACCGGAGAAUGUUAUCACGGGAGACACACGGCGGGUGCUAACGUCCGUCGUGAAGAGGGAAACAACCCAGACCGCCAGCUAAGGUCCCAAAGUCAUGGUUAAGUGGGAAACGAUGUGGGAAGGCCCAGACAGCCAGGAUGUUGGCUUAGAAGCAGCCAUCAUUUAAAGAAAGCGUAAUAGCUCACUGGUCGAGUCGGCCUGCGCGGAAGAUGUAACGGGGCUAAACCAUGCACCGAAGCUGCGGCAGCGACGCUUAUGCGUUGUUGGGUAGGGGAGCGUUCUGUAAGCCUGUGAAGGUGUGCUGUGAGGCAUGCUGGAGGUAUCAGAAGUGCGAAUGCUGACAUAAGUAACGAUAAAGCGGGUGAAAAGCCCGCUCGCCGGAAGACCAAGGGUUCCUGUCCAACGUUAAUCGGGGCAGGGUGAGUCGACCCCUAAGGCGAGGCCGAAAGGCGUAGUCGAUGGGAAACAGGUUAAUAUUCCUGUACUUGGUGUUACUGCGAAGGGGGGACGGAGAAGGCUAUGUUGGCCGGGCGACGGUUGUCCCGGUUUAAGCGUGUAGGCUGGUUUUCCAGGCAAAUCCGGAAAAUCAAGGCUGAGGCGUGAUGACGAGGCACUACGGUGCUGAAGCAACAAAUGCCCUGCUUCCAGGAAAAGCCUCUAAGCAUCAGGUAACAUCAAAUCGUACCCCAAACCGACACAGGUGGUCAGGUAGAGAAUACCAAGGCGCUUGAGAGAACUCGGGUGAAGGAACUAGGCAAAAUGGUGCCGUAACUUCGGGAGAAGGCA
rnacentral:rRNA from 1 species